rnacentral:sRNA from 1 species
UUUGUGGAGAGUUGUGUAAAACUGUCACGUGGUUUGAGCAUGGGAUUACGAAAUAUCGGAUAGAUCUAAAGUACUGAAGUUCAAACAUGGUCUUCAGUUACAGUGACCUGGCCCAUUUCUGGACAGUCUUGGUCAGCCUAAGUUUGUUUCCAUACCUAGUUUUCACUUCAAGUAACGAUGAUUGCCAGUUAUUGCAAAGUACAGUUCCCAUCGCUCGUGUCACUACAGCCCUAAACCUGGGCUACCCAGUGCCUGUUGUCUGCAGCGGCGACGUCAUGCUGAACAAAUGUGAAGGAACUUGCGAGAGUAGCGUAUCGCCUAGCGUCACCACUCACCCAGGAUUUAAAAAG